UACAGAGGUCUCAAGCGUUGUUCGGAUUCAUUGGGCGUAAAGGGCGCGUAGGCUGCGGGGCAAGUCGGGUGUGAAAUCUCCAGAGCUCAACUCUGAAACUGCACUCGAUACUGCUUUGCUCGAGGACUGGAGAGGAGAUUGGAAUUCACGGUGUAGCAGUGAAAUGCGUAGAUAUCGUGAGGAAGACCAGUGGCGAAGGCGGAUCUCUGGACAGUUCCUGACGCUGAGGCGCGAAGGCCCAGGGGAGCAAACGGG
rnacentral:rRNA from 1 species